rnacentral:rRNA from 1 species
UGGGGAAUAUUGGGCAAUGGGCGCAAGCCUGACCCAGCAACGCCGCGUGAAGGAAGAAGGCUUUCGGGUUGUAAACUUCUUUUAAGGGGAAGGAGCAGAGACGGUACCCUGCAAUAAGCCACGGCUAACUACGUGCCAGCAGCCGCGGUAAUACGUAGGUGGCAAGCGUUGUCCGGAUUUACUGGGUGUAAAGGGCGUGCAGCCGGAGAGGCAAGUCAGAUGUGAAAUCCGCGGGCUCAACCCGCGAACUGCAUUUGAAACUGCUUCCCUUGAGUAUCGGAGAGGUAACCGGAAUUCCUAGUGUAGCGGUGAAAUGCGUAGAUAUUGCGCAGAACUCCGAUUGCGAAGGCAGCGUACUGGCGCCUGACUGACGCUGAGGCACGAAAGCGUGGGGAUCGAACAGGAUUAGAUACCC